rnacentral:rRNA from 1 species
GGAUGACGUCAAGUCAUCAUGGCCCUUACGACCAGGGCUACACACGUGCUACAAUGGCGCAUACAAAGAGAAGCGACCUCGCGAGAGCAAGCGGACCUCAUAAAGUGCGUCGUAGUCCGGAUUGGAGUCUGCAACUCGACUCCAUGAAGUCGGAAUCGCUAGUAAUCGUGGAUCAGAAUGCCACGGUGAAUACGUUCCCGGGCCUUGUACACACCGCCCGUCACACCAUGGGAGUGGGUUGCAAAAGAAGUAGGUAGCUUAACCUUCGGGAGGGCGCUUACCACUUUGUGAUUCAUGACUGGGGUGAAGUCGUAACAAGGUAACCGUAGGGGAACCUGCGGUUGGAUCACC